UGAGUAACGCGUGGGUAACCUGCCCUUAAGUCUGGGAUACCAUUUGGAAACAGAUGCUAAUACCGGAUAAAAGCUACUUUCGCAUGAAAGAAGUUUAAAAGGCGGCGUAAGCUGUCGCUAAAGGAUGGACCUGCGAUGCAUUAGCUAGUCGGUAAGGUAACGGCUUACCAAGGCGAUGAUGCAUAGCCGAGUUGAGAGACUGAUCGGCCACAUUGGGACUGAGACACGGCCCAAACUCCUACGGGAGGCAGCAGCG
rnacentral:rRNA from 1 species